rnacentral:rRNA from 1 species
GAAGCUGGAUUCGCUAGUAAUCGCGCAUCAGCCAUGGCGCGGUGAAUACGUUCCCGGGCCUUGUACACACCGCCCGUCCAAGCCAUGGGAGCCGGGGGUGCUUGAAGUGCGUCGCCGCGAGGCGCGCCCUAGAGCAAAACCGGUGACUGGGGCUAAGUCGUAACAAGGUAGC